rnacentral:lncRNA from 1 species
UCCGUAGGAUUCAUCUUAGAAGAUGUCUCAACAACAAAAGGUACAACAGUGACAAAGCAUGAACAAGACAGAUGCAGUAUUGACAUGUUCAAGAAUUGUUCAACUGAAUCUGCCUCCAUUGCAAACGUCACAGAAAACGGCGAAAUAACCUAUAAUAGAGAGGGUUUAAUGAAUUACUAUUGUGGUUCAGAAUCUUCAGAACCCUUUCAAUGCUGGAAGGACCAUUUAGAUACAACAUGUGGCCCAGGCACUUUCGCUUACGCCAUAAACAAAACACUCGCUGGUAUUCUACCUGAUUUCUAUUACAACAAAUUUUGUCGCAAUA